rnacentral:rRNA from 1 species
CGUGAGGAACCUGCCUUUCAGAGGGGGACAACAGUUGGAAACGACUGCUAAUACCGCAUAACACAUAGGUGUCGCAUGGCAUUUAUGUCAAAGAUUUAUCGCUGAAAGAUGGCCUCGCGUCUGAUUAGCUAGUUGGUGAGGUAACGGCUCACCAAGGCGACGAUCAGUAGCCGGACUGAGAGGUUGGCCGGCCACAUUGGGACUGAGAUACGGCCCAGACUCCUACGGAAGGCAGCAG